GGACUUCAUAAACAAAACAGUCGGGGCCGGGGAAUGCCAAAAUCGAGAAAAAUCUCCAUCUUUGAAGUCGCCCUUUUAUCUCGCACACAGGACCCAGACCCAGUGGAAACUUUUAAGUGGAUCAGACUCAAAGGGCCCGGUUCCAAUUUAUCCGCCUGCGCCCUCGCCGGCUCACGACAGGAACCCAGAUUUGGCUACUGUAAGGGCAACAACAUCGACCGUCCUUCUCAAGGCCGACUGGGAAAGCUAGUUUCCCAUUGUCCUUUUCCAACCUCUCGGAGAAGGGGCUUCCCAUCUCCCCACUCCCCAUACGAACCCAGGCUCCCGAUGAUCACCAAGGGGCCUCGAACCUUCCCGUCCUUGACCGUCUUGAAAUGAACUCGGCCAGAAGAUCGGCCGAUGGCAAUUCCCACCUGCCCCCUCUCCCUUCAACUCCCCGUUGGAAGCGACGCUGGCUCCUGGUCACUGACCCAGUCUCCGCUAGCCAGAGGGAUGCCGACGUGAUCCGCUCCACGAUGACACAAACAGGAAUCGAUUCAUUACAUUCAGAGACCCAACGGGCAGAGCACUGGAUCCAGCAAUGGCCCGGAGCCGUUUCCUCGUACACGUCGUCUGAAAACCUUGAGUGCUUCCUUCCUCUCCGCGCUUGCUUUUCUUCUGCGCGGGACAUCAGAUAGCUGUUCUUUUCCACUGGCUGAUGCGUGAUUAAGAAUUUAUGGCACGAGUUGGGAA